rnacentral:rRNA from 1 species
CCUACGGGAGGCAGCAGUGGGGAAUAUUGCACAAUGGGGGAAACCCUGAUGCAGCGACGCCGCGUGAGUGAAGAAGGAAUUCGGUAUGUAAAGCUCUAUUAGCAGGGAAGAAAAUGACGGUAUCUGAGUAAGAAGCCCCGGCUAACUACGUGCCAGCAGCCGCGGUAAUACGUAGGGGGCAAGCGUUAUCCGGAUUUACUGGGUGUAAAGGGAGCGUAGACGGGAGUGCAAGUCUGGAGUGAAAGGCGGGGGCUCAACCCUCGGACUGCAUUGGAAACUGUACGGCUAGAGUGCAGGAGAGGUAAGUGGAAUUCGUGGUGUAGCGGUGAAAUGCGUAGAUAUUAGGAGGAAUACCAGUGGCGAAGGCGGCUUACUGGACUGUAACUGACGUUGAGGCUCGAAAGCGUGGGGAGCAAACAGGAUUAGAUACCCCUGUAGUC